CUCUCAAACUUCCUCCUGGUGAGACGAAAGCUUAACCGCUGUCUCCAUUCGUCAAGUGAAAAGACAGACGGCUCGCACUUCACAGCGGAGAUGGGAAGGUGAACCGCACUGUUGCAGAGAAGCGGGAGAACGGAGGUCCGGCCUCAGCAUCGGCCAUUUCUGUCACUCACAGUGGCUUUCUGCUCCCCAGCCCAGGACCGGCCCGGCCCCGCCGCCCAACCCCCAACCCGGGCCGCACCCCGGCCCCCGCUGCGAGCCCACCGCAGAACACGAGGUUCAGGGGCUCGGCGCGCGCCCGGGCGGGAAGCCGAACCCGUGAAGCGCGCCUGCGAGGGGCGCUCGUCCCGGGCCGGGGCCUUCUCCCAGACGCGCCUGAGCGACUGCGCCUGCGUGCGGCCGCAGGCGGUGGCUCCAUUCCCCGGACGGAGGGGCGAGUACGGACUGCGCAGGCGUGGGGAGCGAGGCCCAGGGAGGGGCUCCGUCCGCGGCCGGCCUGCGCGUACUGCGCCUGCGCGAGCCGAGGGCGGCGGCUCGGGCGGCUGGUAGGCGCCGUCCGCCCCUCCGCACCCGCGGUGUGGACGCAGGACUCCGCGGAGAAAGGCGGCUGAGAAAUGGAGGAGAAAAUGAAGUAUUAAAUGUGGCAGUGAUGCGGCAGAUCCCAAGAGAACCAUGGCAACAUCAGGUGACUGCCCCCGAGGUGAACCACAGGUAAUUUCGGCUCUGGUGUGUGAGGACCUGUAUGUAAGGACCAUGGACGUGGCAGAGAGCACGGCUCAGCCACCAGCCGUGGCCGCAUAGGUGGAGGAAAUGCAGUGCUUGUAAGGGUUCCAGGUGACAUUCUGAAUUGGGCUGUACACACCUGCCACGACUCUACCUUUCGUACCUUGCUGCUGAAGCACGCCCACACUUCAGUUGUUUAAUAAAGUCCCGGGCAUAAUACCUUCAAAGCAGGCUGGACACAUUAGAAAUGUUUUAUUUAUUCAUACUGUUUCUCUGCCUGGGACACACAUCUAGUUACAUUCAAGCUAUUAAUUAAA